CCAGCCUACGGGAGGCAGCAGUGAGGAAUAUUGGUCAAUGGGCGAGAGCCUGAACCAGCCAAGUCGCGUGAGGGAAGACGGUCCUAUGGAUUGUAAGCCUCUUUUGCCGGGGAGCAAAAAGCGGUACGUGUACCGCAUCGAGAGUACCCGGAGAAAAAGCAUCGGCUAACUCCGUGCCAGCAGCCGCGGUAAUACGGAGGAUGCGAGCGUUAUCCGGAUUUAUUGGGUUUAAAGGGUGCGCAGGCGGCGAGUUAAGUCAGCGGUAAAAUUGCGGGGCUCAACCCCGACGCGACGUCGAAACUGGC
rnacentral:rRNA from 1 species